rnacentral:rRNA from 1 species
CGUGAGAAUCUGGCUUUGGGUUCGGGACAACCAUUGGAAACGAUGGCUAAUACCGGAUGUGCCGAGAGGUGAAAGAUUAAUUGCCCAAAGAAGAGCUCGCGUCUGAUUAGCUAGUUGGUGGGGUAAGAGCCUACCAAGGCAGCGAUCAGUAGCUGGUCUGAGAGGAUGAUCAGCCACACUGGGACUGAGACACGGCCCAGACUCCUACGGGAGGCAGCAGUGGGGAAUUUUCCGCAAUGGGCGAAAGCCUGACGGAGCAAUACCGCGUGAGGGAGGAAGGCUCUUGGGUUGUAAACCUCUUUUCUUCGGGAAGAACAAAAUGACGGUACCGAAGGAAUAAGCAUCGGCUAACUCCGUGCCAGCAGCCGCGGUAAUACGGAGGAUGCAAGCGUUAUCCGGAAUAAUUGGGCGUAAAGCGUCCGCAGGUGGCGAUUCAAGUCUGCUGUUAAAGGUCCUGGCUCAACUGGGAUAUGGCAGUGGAAACUGAAGAGCUAGAGUGCGGUAGGGGUAGAGGGAAUUCCCGGUGUAGCGGUGAAAUGCGUAGAGAUCGGGAAGAACACCAGUGGCGAAAGCGCUCUACUAGGCCUGCACUGACACUCAGGGACGA